GACGAACGCUGGCGGCGUGCUUAACACAUGCGAGUCGAACGGGAUCCGGGCUUUCGGGUUUGGUGAGAGUGGCGAACGGGUGAGUAACACGUGAGUAACCUGCCCCCUUCUUUGGGAUAACGUCGGGAAAUCGGCGCUAAUACUGGAUAUUCUUGCUGCAUCGCAUGGUGUGGUUUGGAAAGGGUUUCUGGUGGGGGAUGGGCUCGCGGCCUAUCAGCUUGUUGGUGGGGUGAUGGCCUACCAAGGCUUUGACGGGUAGCCGGCCUGAGAGGGUGUCCGGCCACACUGGGACUGAGACACGGCCCAGACGCCUACGGGAGGCAGCAGUGGGGAAUAUUGCACAAUGGGCGCAAGCCUGAUGCAGCGACGCCGCGUGAGGGAUGACGGCCUUCGGGUUGUAAACCCCUUUCAGUAUGGAACAAGGAUCCUUCUUUUGGGGGGUUUGAGGGUACGUGCAGAAGAAGCGCCGGCUAACUACGUG
rnacentral:rRNA from 1 species